rnacentral:rRNA from 1 species
ACGGGUGAGUAACACGUGGGCAAUCUGCCCUUCACUCUGGGACAAGCCCUGGAAACGGGGUCUAAUACCGGAUACCACUUCCACUCGCAUGGGUGGGGGUUGAAAGCUCCGGCGGUGAAGGAUGAGCCCGCGGCCUAUCAGCUUGUUGGUGAGGUAACGGCUCACCAAGGCGACGACGGGUAGCCGGCCUGAGAGGGCGACCGGCCACACUGGGACUGAGACACGGCCCAGACUCCUACGGGAGGCAGCAGUGGGGAAUAUUGCACAAUGGGCGAAAGCCUGAUGCGGCGACGCCGCGUGAGGGAUGACGGCCUUCGGGUUGUAAACCUCUUUCAGCAGGGAAGAAGCGAAAGUGACGGUACCUGCAGAAGAAGCGCCGGCUAACUACGUGCCAGCAGCCGCGGUAAUACGUAGGGCGCAAGCGUUGUCCGGAAUUAUUGGGCGUAAAGAGCUCGUAGGCGGUCUGUCGCGUCGGAUGUGAAAGCCCGGGGCUUAACCCCGGGUCUGCAUUCGAUACGGGCAGACUAGAGUGUGGUAGGGGAGAUCGGAAUUCCUGGUGUAGCGGUGAAAUGCGCAGA